AGGUUAUAGCUGCUAUCACUUACCAAAUAGUUCCCACUGACACACAGUACGCUGAGAUACCUAUUGCUGCUGUCAGUUCAAUGUACCAACACAAGGGAUUUGGUAGCUCCUUGCUCCUGGAAUUGAAAAAGAGACUUCAAAGUGUUGGUAUAUGCACAAUAUUCUGUUGGGGAGACAAGGAAUCUGAAGGGUUUUGGCUCAAACAGAUCAGAAUGACAAGGAUUUGGAUCGGAUGAGUGAGAGGCAGGAUCUUGAAGGAAAGGAGCUAAAGUAAGAAACUACUUUGCAUGACCUGGAGCUGGUUUCUUUAGUUCACAGUCAUGUCAAUGCUGCAGAGCAAUAUGAUUUUGAGUAAGGCUAGAUUUUGAUGACCAUUUUGUAGAUGUAGUGAUAUCAGGAUGAAUUGUGAACAAAUUAUACUGCAUGUAGUUAUUGCAGUAGUGGUAUCUUCUAGACUAGCCUUAAAGUAGGUUAGGGUUUAUUGUGCAAAACUUUUGAAGCUUCCUCAAGCUCUAAUUUUGGAUAGAAAUUAAUGCAAUUCCCUAAUAUUUGAAUUUCAU